GAUGAACGCUAGCGACAGGCCUAACACAUGCAAGUCGAGGGGCAGCACAUGAGUAGCAAUACGAUGGUGGCGACCGGCGCACGGGUGAGUAACACGUAUGCAACCUGCCUUCUACUAUGGGAUAACCCGUUGAAAGACGGACUAAUACCGUAUAAUACAGGGGCUCCGCAUGGAGAUAUUUGUUAAAGAUUUAUUGGUAGAAGAUGGGCAUGCGUAUGAUUAGAUAGUUGGUGAGGUAACGGCUCACCAAGUCAACGAUCAUUAGGGGUUCUGAGAGGAAGGUCCCCCACACUGGUACUGAGACACGGACCAGACUCCUACGGGAGGCAGCAGUGAGGAAUAUUGGUCAAUGGACGAGAGUCUGAACCAGCCAAGUCGCGUGAAGGAAGACGGUUCUAUGAAUUGUAAACUUCUUUUGGCAGGAAUAAAGUGGGUUACUGUAACCUUUUGAUGUACUGUACGAAUAAGGAUCGGCUAACUCCGUGCCAGCAGCCG
rnacentral:rRNA from 1 species